ACCACCACUGUUCAUCGUCUUCUUCAUUGAACAACGGCGUCAACUCUCAAUUUUGGUUCCCAUUAAAACUAUUCUCCUUGUUUCUCUCAUUCCCUUCGUUUUUCAUUCUUUUCCCUCACCAUUCUCUUCCUACAUCAUACUAUUCAUCUCUUGCUCUACGAGAAAGGGCAAUCACACGGUGAGAAAGUCCAGCAACAUUUCUCUCCUCUCAUUUGUUUCCUAUAAAUUUCCUUAAGUAUUCCGUCUUCCAAUGUUGGCAAGUCACAAAAAUGUUCAUUAGGUCCUUUGUGCACAGAAGGUGGAAGGAGAUUCGAACCAUUCCAUCAUUGUGCAUCAUAGUCCUUGAUUCGUAUACAUGGAGUAAAUCAAGCUUAUCUGAAUCUCUAAUUCACAUCAUCUAACAAUCGGUCGGGACAUCACCUAGGUUAAUAUGGAGAAGUGCAAGAGAUUGAACAUUGCUUCAUUGAGUUCUCACGCAAGUUGAAGAUCAGCCACAAGGGGGUGUGUCCAAUAAUGAGGGGCAAACUACCUAAGCUGAGCCCAACAAUGAGGGCCAAACUAGAACACUCAGAAAUGCAUCCUACUAAAAGUAUUUAAUAGUUUUGUAUACUUUAAUUUGACAUAAAAAUCCUUAGUUGGUUUAUUGAGUUAUUAUAAUCCAUAUACAUUUUACACA